rnacentral:lncRNA from 14 species
AUAAAUGUUGCCCUCCAUUUUGGGGUUUUAGUUAACCCCCCAUGUAGCUGACAUCAAACAAUCAACAUCAUAGUCCAGGUCAGAGUUCUGCAACUACUCUGGGGCUUUGCAGCUCCUCUGAGCACUCAGGGCUCUGCUUCCUGCCUCUUCUCUUACAGGGCGUUUUCUUCCCACGGCUGGAAAAGCAUGUAAAGUUCUUCUGGAUGUAAGUGUGAUGAGAGCAGGGCAGCAUGAGACCCGAGACCCUGGAGAAGCACAGACAGCAAGGAAGCCCUGGGGCAGCUCAGUCAGCCUGGGUCCCCUUUACCCUCAGCUCCUUGGGCUCAGACUCCGUCCUCUCUGUUUCUUCCACCAGGGGGCGACAUUGGACAAGAAUGGGACGCUACUCCAUCUUCAACAGGUGCACAAGCAUUGCAUCCCUUGGGACUGAAGUCACAGAUGGUGGAAGCCACCGUGUGCUGAGGGAACUCAACCUGGAUCCUCUGCACCAGCAACAAGUGCUCCUGGCUGCUGAGCCAUCUCCCCAGCCACCAUUGGAAUGUUUGCCUCAGGAACCACACAGCUGCCUCACAGUUGCUGGCUGAUGC